UCCUUCCUUAUUUGUUCAAAGAGCCAGAACAGUGAAUCUGCGACACUGUGUUUCAGCUUGGCAUCCACGUGAGGGUUUACACAGCAUCAAAAGUUGAUGAAGAGUUAGAAGCAGCAAAGAGAGAGUAUUUACAGGCGGCAGUUGGCAUCACAAAGGGGAACAAGUUGAUAAUUCCAAAGUUGCUUGACUGGAGGCACAACUUAUUUCUGUAGACUCCCUUGGGUUUGAUCUAAGAGUUUGAUCUUCUGAUUAUCUCGAAUCAUGGCUCCUCGGGUCAAGGGUAAAGGUGUCAAGGGUCAUAGAGGUUCUCGAACCACCGCCGCAGCCGCUAUUACCACCAACUCCACCUCUUCUGGGACUUCAGUUGUGCCAGAUUUUCAGUCAGGACCACUUACCCAGCAACCAUAUUUGAUGGUGCCUAAUCCAGGCUACAUUGGUCUUCCUCCACCAACUUGGCCUACUCCAGGAUGUAUGGGCCCUCCACCACCCCCUCUUCCAAUUUCGAUUCCUCCUCCGUCUCGCAAUUCCAGCCUAUUAGUUGAUUCAGAGACACCUGGAAGCUCUAGUACAUCUCCUCCAUCAGAAACUGCAUCGGUUCCUAAUGUUGUCAC